UCUCUUCCUGGCAGACAGGUUUCUCUUAAC
rnacentral:piRNA from 1 species